AUUGAACGCUGGCGGCAGGCCUAACACAUGCAAGUCGAACGAGUGGCGGACGGGUGAGUAAUGUCUGGGAAACUGCCCGAUGGAGGGGGAUAACUACUGGAAACGGUAGCUAAUACCGCAUACCAUCGGAUGUGCCCAGAUGGGAUUAGCUUGUAGGUGGGGUAACGGCUCACCUAGGCGACGAUCCCUAGCUGGUCUGAGAGGAUGACCAGCGACACGGGAACGGAGACAGGGUCAAGAGUCCUACGGGAGGCAGAAGUGGGGAAGAUUGAGCAAUGGGUGCAAGCCUGAUGCAGCACUGCCGCGUGUAUGAAGAAGGCCUUCGGGUUGUAAAGUACUUUCAGCGGGGAGGCGUUACCCGAAGAAGAAGCACCGGCUAACUCCGUGCCAGCAGCCGCGGUAAUAC
rnacentral:rRNA from 1 species